CAAAUUCAAUGUUAAUCAUACUUUGGGUAUUGUUCUUUUAGCCUGUGCUGUGACAUUCUUCUGAUGCUAGGAGGUAGCAGCAAGCAACAUCUCCCACUCAGCUGAUGACAAGGAUCUACCAAGCUGAACAGCUAUUUGUGCAACAAACUUCACACAUGAGAGAGAGCUAAGGAAACCAGGAAGAAAAAUGUACAUGAAUAUUAUCAAUAAAAGCAUAACAUUAAAAUUACUUUAGCCUGGCAAGAGGGCAAAGCCACUUUCUAUUUGGCAACCUUGGAUUUAUUCCUAAUGCCCAUAUGGUAGAGGGAGAGAAUUGACUGGACCCCACAAGUUGUCUUCUGACCUCUACACACAUACUGUGGCAU